GUGCACCAGGCGAGAAAACUUCACACUGUGCGAAAGCACGAUGAGGGAAUCCCAAGUGCUUGCACGUAAGUGUAAGCUUGUUUCUCUGUCUAAAACGCAGAGAGAGUAAGGGCUGGGUAAGACGGGUGCCAGCCGCCGCGGUAAUACCGUGCAGCUCAAGUGGUGACCGUUAUUAUUGGGCCUAAAACGUCCGUAGCCGGUUUAAUAAAUGCCUGGGUAAAUUGUGUAGCUUAACUAUACGAAUCCCGGGUAGACUGUUAAACUUGAGACCGGGAGAAGUUAGAGGUACUCCUGGGGUAGAGGUGAAAUUCUGUAAUCCUAGGGGACCACCAGUGGCGAAGGCGUCUAACUAGAACGGGUCUGACGGUGAGGGACGAAGCCCUGGGGCGCAAACGGGAUUAGAUACCCCUGC
rnacentral:rRNA from 1 species